ACUCCUACGGGAGGCAGCAGUGGGGAAUAUUGCACAAUGGGCGCAAGCCUGAUGCAGCCAUGCCGCGUGUAUGAAGAAGGCCUUCGGGUUGUAAAGUACUUUCAGCAGUGAGGAAGGUGGGUAUGUUAAUAGCAUACUCAUUUGACGUUAGCUGCAGAAGAAGCACCGGCUAACUCCGUGCCAGCAGCCGCGGUAAUACGGAGGGUGCGAGCGUUAAUCGGAAUUACUGGGCGUAAAGCGCAUGCAGGUGGUUUGUUAAGUCAGAUGUGAAAGCCCGGGGGCUCAACCUCGGAAUUGCAUUUGAAACUGGCAAACUAGAGUACUGUAGAGGGGGGUAGAAUUUCAGGUGUAGCGGUGAAAUGCGUAGAGAUCUGAAGGAAUACCGGUGGCGAAGGCGGCCCCCUGGACAGAUACUGACACUCAGAUGUGAAAGCUGGGGAGCAAACAGGAUUAGAUACCUUGGUAGGCGUAG
rnacentral:rRNA from 1 species